AGGGGAUAGGGGAUUUUGGGAAGGUAAACUAGGAAAGGGGAUAACAUUUGAAAUGUAAUUAGAGAAAAUAUCUAAUAAAAAAGAAAAAAAGCAACUUGAUUGGCUAUGUUCUGUGAGGUACAUGAAUUAGUCUCAUGAUGCUUCUAAAUAGUUCUUUCCUGUCUUGAGCUGCUGUUAUGUCUAGAUAGCAAGCCAUACAGUCACAAUUCUGAGCAUUUCUCCUUUAUUUAAACGUUUUUGAAGAACAAUUAGACUUUUGAAUUGAAUGAUACUUGCUUUGGGAUGGGGUGUUACUUUGAGUAGCAUUUUGAGCUAGCUGCCAAAGAAUAUGAUAAAAUGAAUCUUUGUGUGUCUCCUAAGGCCUUCUUUACUGUCUUCAUCCCUUAGAUGAUACUAACUGGCUACUUCAUUAGGUUGUUAGGAGUGUAAAUAUGGUGGUAGAGAUAAGUGAGCCUCUUAGAAGUGCCAGAAAGGAUUGAGUUUGAACAGCUCAUUCUCCAAGACUCUUGAGAAAUCUUAGAUGAGAGACCAAUGGUGAAUCAGCCACCUGAUAUUUCAUUAAUAGGUAAAAUACUGCAUGACUGGGCAUAACAUGGGCUCAACUUGGGGACUGGGUUCAAACUUUGCUAUCACUGGUAUAGUGUGAUGAAAAAUACUAAUAUUUGAAACCUUUAUAUCCAUUGCCAUUUAAGUAGAAAUUCCUAGAAUGAAUAUAUUCUAUAAUUGAAGUGUCUAAUAUUGAAUAACUUUUUUUUGCUUUAUAUAGGUUUAGCAAAUUAAAAUUUGUACAACCCAGCGUGGCUAGUGAUUUCUGUAUUUGGACAGUAUAUCAACAAAUAAUGAGUUAAAGAAAUUCUAGAGUUUAUUUUUUUCUCAAAUAAACAACCUAGAAUGCAGAAGUGGAGGGACAAGGAGAUGAUAAUUAAGGAAAUGAGCUCUCUGAUUUGUUCUUCCUGGCCAGUUUGUCCCAAGGCCACUCCUGCCUCUGUGAGACUCAAUAUUUCCUCACCUCACUAUUUUGAGGAAAUAGGGGAGUGGCUGGAAGAGACUGGGAGUCUGUUCAUCUGCAUUUCUUGCUGCCACAGUUAUUUAACCGGUUAUGAUAAUCCUGAAUCUGGAGGUUGUCAGUAUCUUUGUUCCAAGAUAUUUCUGACAAAUUGUAGAAGAGAGUAAAUUUAGGUGUCCAGACUGCUACAUAGUCUAGAAUACAGGACUAGGUUUUCAUUGUGUUAGACUGGUGAGAAAUAAGGGGCGUUGCAGUUAAAGAAAUGUAAUGACUGGACAAGUAUUUGUUGUCUAUUUUAUGUUUCUGUAGCAAGUUACCUGAGGCCUGGCACUUUGCAAAAAGGAAGCAAUUAUGAACCUUUUAGUUCUGAGAUACAUGAGCAUGACAGCAGUUCUCUGCAUGUCUCUGGUAAAAGUCACAUUGCAAGUGGCAUCUAAAUGACAAGUGUGUUUGCAGAAGAAAGGCACAUGGCCAUCCAGGAAAGAGAUUGAGCUCUCACACAACCUAUUCUCUCCAGAACCAAUCCAGUCUCAUAAGAUUUGCAUUAAUCCAUCCCAAGGUCACUUCCUACAUGAAUGAAUUACUCCCACUAGCCAAUACAUCAUUCAUUGGUCUGUGUGAAUAUGUGUGUGUACAUAUGUGUACAUGCACACACACACAGGGUACAUGAAUUUUUUCAUGUGUCCCCACUGUGCAGGUAUGUGUAGAGGUCAGAGAUCUGCUCUGAACACAUGCUUGCAUGGCAGGCAUUUUAUUAACUGGUCCAUCUCUCAAGCCCUUCCCCCACCUCCUUACUGUUCCCUUAUCUCAACUCUGCUGUAUUGAAAACUAGGCUUCCAGCAUGGGCACAUUCAGAAGGUUGUGGAACCCAUAACAAACUAUAGGAAGCAACAAUACAAGCAGAUUCUGAGUAUCAAAUGAUGUCAACAUGCCACACAAAAAAUAAAGGUUUAGAAAUUAAAAUCAAAAUGAACACAUGUAAUACAGGUCAUACAUAUAAGAUAUUGGAAACCAUAAACUUGGUGCAAACAUAUACCCUCAAUAUUAAUGCUCAUCCUAUCUAGCAUGAGUAUGUAUUUAAAGGUUACUUAAAAAAAACAACAACUAGGACCCAGAGAUUGGAGUAAAAAUAUAGUAAUCUAGUUUCCUAAAAUUUCAUAAUCACUUUGCAUCUGAGUCCAACAGCAGAUAUCAAGCUUGACUAAGGAAGAAGAAGCCAGGGUCUGGCCAUUUCACUAUGGCUCACAUUCUCGCCUUUUCUCUUUACCAUGUGAUCAUUCUUCAAACAACAUGUGCACACAUUUGUGACGGUAUAAAGAAUUUGUUAACAGUGACUCUACUGCUAAUGUGGAGUCUCAGCAUUCUACUCCUCCACCUCUGCCCUCCCACAGGGGAAGAGGAUGCCUAGCCAGAAUGUUAUACCCAUCAAUAGUUCAUGGGCUCUACUAACAGACUUAGAACUCAGCAAGAAAUCUAACACACAUAACAAAUGACUACUUUGUUUGAAUUUCAUAUUUAGAAUAAUUUAAUGUAUAUACACAGACUGCAUAUGUAUAUUGUGUAUCUCUCUCUCUCUAUCUAUCUAUUUAUCUAUCUAUCUAUCUAUCUAUCUAUCUAUCUAUCUAACAAAUGUUCCUCAUUGCUUGGACAAAUAUCUGACAGAUGCAACUGAAGAGGAAAGGAAUAUUUUCUGGCUUAUGGUUUUAGGGAAUUUUAGUUCAUCCUAGCUAAGGAAGAAGUGUAGGAGUGGCUCAGUCUGUAGUGGCAGAUUAUGCAGUGGCAGCUUCUCACAUGGCAUAAAUCAGCAGAGCGCUAGACUAGUGGUCUGCAGCCUGAUAGCCCCAUGUUACAAAGCCUCCACGGUGUCUCCAAUCAGAGCACACAUGCAGAGACCAAGUGUUCAAAUACAAGCACUUAUGAGACAAUUCACACUAAGACAUAAAAAUGUGUGUGUGCGUGUGUGUGUGUGCGUGUGUGUGCGUGUGUGUGCGCGUGCGUGCGUGCGUGCGUGCGUGCGUGUGUGCGUGUGUGUGUGCGUGUGUGUGUGUUACCUCUCCCAAUUCCAAAGGUUGUGCCUAAGUUUUUAAGCAGUCUGCUUCUGGAUUUAUCAUUUUUUCUAAGAAAUAUUACUAUGAAAUUCUCCUAGAACUUUUUUAUGUCUGCUGUUAUUUCUAUAAUAUAUUUAAAGCUUAUGGGUUUAUAUAUAAUAUAUUUAAAGCUUCAAUAUAAACAUUUUUCAGUAAUCUCUAUAAUAACUUGUUUCUUUGAAUAGAUGGCCAUAGAAAUUAUGUCCCUGUAAAGUUAAAAGUAAGAAUAGAAGGAUUUUUGUAGCCUUUUUAUGUUUAUGCGUGUGGAUGGAAUUUUUUUUGCUUUUAUUUGCAUAAUGAGCUGGUGUCUUUUGUUCUCUGUAAGCGGUUUUUUCCUGAAGCUGUAAUCUCUUGCAGAAUGAAUAGGGUUUUUUUUUUUAAAAACAUCAAAGGACAUUUGCAAAGUGUUGAAGGAAUUUUAUAUGUUAUGUAAACCAAUGGGCUAGUCUUGUUUGCUUAAUCUUAGGAAGGAAAUAAUGGGGUGAAAGUCACUGGCAUUUAAAAAAUACAGUCGCACCUAGCACAGAUGGGAAUGUGUGUCAUGUUUGCCUUCUUUGGUGUAAACUUUGUUCAUUCCAUAUCUAGUUCUUUCAGCACUAAAAAUGGGAGCAUUUAGCAUUGUUUUCAACUGCCUUACUUUCUAAGAGCUGCUUUAGGAAGAAGGGUGUAUUGAUCUCUUUGUAACACUGAGAACAACACUUCCCUUCCCUUUCUCCACUUCUGAGUGUCUGCCAUUUGUAAAAUGUUUCUCCACCUCU
rnacentral:lncRNA from 1 species